rnacentral:sRNA from 1 species
CAUGCACAGCCAUAUGCAGGGUGGGCAGUGGCCACUCCCUGAACGAAAGGGGGUGGUGCUGAUGAUGUCGAUUGCCGACGCGCUGACGCUCAUGAUUGCGUUUGCGUCACUCAUCGUCGCGGUGAUCGCCGUAUCCAAAGACAAAAAGUAACCCACCCUGCUAGGCCGAGGCGAGGGUAGGUUACGAUGCCCGAGGCUUGGGCCACUGCGCUUCUUGCAGCGGCUGUGUAUGGACAGGGCAUUGGUGGCCGCCAAUGCC